rnacentral:lncRNA from 1 species
AUACCAAAUGAAACGACCCGACCCGCUAGCAACAAUAACUCAUUAGACCCAAACAACCGACCCAAAAUGCUUAAGCUCAGUUAUUAUUACUAGCGUGUUGGCCUCAUAUAAAUUGAUCGGAAUUAGUAUCACAUCCGAUGUGGGACUAUUGGGGCGUUACAAUGAGUCCUGUCUAGACGGAGGUCAUGGAAUAGCUCGUCAAAUCCCAUCAUCAUCUGUCAUAUAUCAAAUUUAUUCGACUUGAGUUUUUAAUAUCGAAAAUCUUUUUAUGCUAUUAACCCUGCCCUUGCCAAGAUUUUCUAAACUCAGUCUUAUAAAUCACAUAGAGUUAACACCCCUAUCUACCAAGAAAGAUAGAAUCAAUAUAGGUGCACUCCCUAUUUCUACAAUGAAUCUACUGCAGCCAACAUGCACUGU